rnacentral:rRNA from 1 species
CGGCGAACGGGUGAGUAACACGUAGGUAAUCUGCCCAUCAGACGGGGACAACGAUUGGAAUCGAUCGCUAAUACCGGAUAGGACGAAAGUUUAAAGGUGCUUCUGGCACCGCUGAUGGAUGAGCCUGCGGCGCAUUAGCUAGUUGGUGGGGUAAAGGCCUACCAAGGCGACGAUGCGUAGCCGACCUGAGAGGGUGAACGGCCACACUGGGACUGAGACACGGCCCAGACUCCUACGGGAGGCAGCAGUAGGGAAUCUUCGGCAAUGGGCGAAAGCCUGACCGAGCAACGCCGCGUGAAUGAUGAAGGCCUUCGGGUUGUAAAAUUCUGUUAUAAGGGAAGAACGACUUUAGUAGGAAAUGGCUAAAGUGUGACGGUACCUUAUGAGAAAGCCACGGCUAACUACGUGCCAGCAGCCGCGGUAAUACGUAGGUGGCAAGCGUUAUCCGGAAUUAUUGGGCGUAAAGAGCGCGCAGGUGGUUGAUUAAGUCUGAUGUGAAAGCCCACGGCUUAACCGUGGAGGGUCAUUGGAAAC